UACGAAGGUCCCAAGCGUUAUCCGGAUUUAUUGGGUUUAAAGGGUGCGUAGGCGGAUUGUUAAGUCAGUGGUGAAAGCUCCCGGCUCAACCGGGAAAUUGCCAUUGAUACUGACGAUCUUGAGUGUGGUUGAGGUGGGCGGAAUGUGUCAUGUAGCGGUGAAAUGCUUAGAUAUGACACAGAACACCGAUUGCGAAGGCAGCUCACUAAGCCACAACUGACGCUGAUGCACGAAAGCGUGGGGAGCAAACAGG
rnacentral:rRNA from 1 species